CCAUCGGCGGUCUGGGCGUUCGUGGCGCCUCGCGGCUGAUGUUCGUGGAGCUGCGUCACGUCGGCGGGGCGCUCCGCCCGGAUGAG
rnacentral:tRNA from 1 species